UACGGAGGGGGGCUAGCGUUGUUCGGAAUUACUGGGCGUAAAGCGCACGUAGGCGGCUUUGCAAGUUAGAGGUGAAAGCCCGGGGCUCAACUCCGGAAUUGCCUUUAAAAACUGCAUCGCUAGAAUUGUGGAGAGGUAAGUGGAAUUCCGAGUGUAGAGGUGAAAUUCGUAGAUAUUCGCAAGAACACCAGUGGCGAAGGCGGCUCACUGGCCCGGUACUGACGCUGAGGUGCGAAAGCGUGGGGAGCAAACAGG
rnacentral:rRNA from 1 species